AAUUUUUUUGCCUAUGCUAAACUUCAGACGAAGUCCGGCAGCGAAGGUGUGUUGUCACGUAUCUAAAACAUCUGAAGUUCUAGAAAAUGCUCCUGAGCAAUGUUGAUUUUUGUUUUGGUUCACUGCUGUUCCUGGAUGGACAAUGAACGAUCAUCUGAUUUGAUUGUUGAAGAAGCCAAAAAUAUUCUUUUUACAUAUAAUGCUGCCGUAGAACAAUUCAGGCAACGUACAGCCCCAAAGACAAAAUGAAUGCCAAUUUUGACAACGCUGAAUCUUAGAUGUGCCUGGUUGGCGAUAUUCCAUCACUUGUGCAUCGCUACAUGGCCAUCGUCAGGCUCAAGCAUCCAAUGAAUAUGGGAACAAAUUGCUGUGAUCUUCAACUUCAACAAUUUUACCUCUUUAGCACUAGUAGGUAAGGAAAAUUUAAUUUGCAUUUUGUAAUUUUUUUGCCAGUGUUUGGCUGAGUGAACUUGCAGUAUUAUAAAGGUAUUCAAGAUAACUGAAAUGGUAGCCCCUAAAUCAGAAGAAUUUUAUCUGACAUCUUUCUUGCGUGAACCUGUUAAGAAAAAGCCUUGUUAUAUCAAAGGGCACCUAAAGAAGAAAUUGGCUUCAUUAACGAUUCAAACUCAUUGAUUCUAACAACAGCCUGGUUGCAAACUUUUACCCAUUUCGUUGCAAUAAAUGUAUUUCUGAUCCAGUCUUCAAAACCCACAAAUGCCAAGGUACACAUAUACUUCUAAAGUGAGACUGUUAAUCUGAAAAAAAAAAAACUUGCAAACCAGCUUGUUCCCUUUAUAAAAAGAGUUGCUUUAGUCAGGUGUCAUAUUGCCUUCUAUUGGUUCCCUUUGUGGGAAAUGUAUGUUGUGUGUGAAUAUAUGCAACCCUAACAGUCUUGGAGAUCACUUUUUUUUGUCAAGAAAAUACUGGAAAUUGGUAUUGAGAAGGUCAUUAACAGAAAGUUUUUGUAUUUUAUCAGUUUAUUCCUACAUUUAACAUGGUUCUUUAGAAAUGCCAUGGAAUAAAAAAGCACUUGACAAAAAACAUUUUUAUUGUUCUCGUACCUGUAUUAGAUGGAAAUUACUUGUGCAAUGGUACCAACCCAUUCAUGAAAACAAUGUAUUCAACCAUGGAAUGUUGACCAGCUAUCUGCAGAGUGAAAAUCUACUUGACAGCAUUCAACCUCUUAAGUACAUUUUACAAAAGAUUCUGAGAAUGGCAAAAAUUAUGAACAAAUUUUGUAUUGGAGAAAUUCUAGGUAAAUGAAAGCCAUUUCACGAUACAGCUGAAUAGCUGUGAAACGCAACCAAUCGAGGAACUGAGUUUCUUGAACAACCAAACUUAUCUUGAAGAGCUGCAGAAAAAGAAUGGAACAUUACGCUGC